rnacentral:rRNA from 1 species
GUGGUUUAAUUCGAAGCAACGCGCAGAACCUUACCAACCCUUGACAUCCCUGGACCGCCGGAGAGAUCCGGUUUUCUCGUAAGAGACCAGGUGACAGGUGCUGCAUGGCUGUCGUCAGCUCGUGUCGUGAGAUGUUCGGUUAAGACCGGCAACGAGCGCAACCCACAUCUUUAGUUGCCAGCAGUUCGGCUGGGCACUCUAAAGAAACUGCCCGUGAUAAGCGGGAGGAAGGUGUGGAUGACGUCAAGUCCUCAUGGCCCUUACGGGCUGGGCUACACACGUGCUACAAUGGCAUCUACAGUGGGUUAAUCCCCAAAAGAUGUCUCAGUUCGGAUUGGGGUCUGCAACUCGACCCCAUGAAGUCGGAAUCGCUAGUAAUCGCGUAACAGCAUGACGCGGUGAAUACGUUCCCGGGCCUUGUACACACCGCCCGUCAAACCAUGGAAGCUGGGAGUGCCUGAAGUCGGUUACCGCAAGGAGCCGCCUAGGGUAAAACUGGUAACUAGGGCUAAGUCGAAACAAGGUAGCCGUACCGGAAGGUGCGGCUGGAACACCUCCUU